AGAGUUUGAUCCUGGCUCAGGAUGAACGCUAGCGGCAGGCCUAAUACAUGCAAGUCGAGGGGCAGCAGUACUUUUCGGAGUAGCUGGCGACCGGCGCACGGGUGCGUAACGCGUAUGCAAUCUACCCACUGCACAGGGAUAGCCCGUGGAAACAUGGAUUAAUACCUGAUAAUACAGGGAGCCCACCUGGGCAUAUUGUUAAAGUUUUAACGGCAGUGGAUGAGCAUGCGUCCCAUUAGUUAGUUGGUAAGAUAACGGCUUACCAAGGCGAUGAUGGGUAGGGGUUCUGAGAGGAUGAUCCCCCACACUGGUACUGAGACACGGUCCAGACUCCUACGGGAGGCAGCAGUGGGGAAUUUUGCGCAAUGGGCGAAAGCCUGACGCAGCGACGCCGCGUGGGGGAAGAAGGCCUUCGGGUUGUAAACUCCUUUAGUAUGGGAAGAAGCCGCGAGCAAUCGUGGUGACGGUACCGUAAGAAUAAGCCACGCUAACU
rnacentral:rRNA from 1 species